CUUGUUUUUCCUUUUUCCUUUUGUUUCUUUGAAAUAUGUAAUGAUUUAGCCACUACAAUAUUCUGAGAUCUUUCAGAUUUUGUUAUUAAUUACAUUAUCUUAAUUUGAAAGGUUUAAAUUGUUUUAUUUAAAUACUUGUUUUUAGGGGCUGACAGUUCAAAGACUUCCUUGAAGUACAUGUCUCUUUGUCAACUUUUCAAAGGUGAAACAUUGGUAAAAAUCUAUUUCUUGUCUUGAACCAGCAUAUUGAGUUUUUCUGGGUAGAUAGUUUUGGGCUCAUUUGUCUAUCCUACUUAAUUUUUUGACAUAGGGACAUGAGUUUUUGCCUUUGUGGAAAAGUUACAUCUAUUAAUUUUGCUUUUUCUGUGCUGAAAUUUCUAGUGAUUUCUUAGUGAUUCAUUGAGACUUAGGACAAUUUGCAUGAUCAGGAUCCAUGAUAUGGGAUUAUGGGUAGAAAUGACAAGAUAAUUUAUUUUUUAUGCCUUCGAAAUUCUUUGUUGGAAGUACCAAUCAAGUGGGAUACCAUCUUGCUUAAGUAUGGAGGAGAAGAGAUGAAGACACCCAGGCUAUCCUAACUUGGCCAGAAAUUUGAAGGCAAAUGAGUGUCAGAACAGAUCAGGUUAUAUAUAACCUGUGAGCUUCAAAAUUUGGAAGAGCCUCCCGAGAUGCAGCAACUCCUGAAGUCCAAAGCAGUGAAGCUGGUCUGGGAGGCAGCCUUUACCCUCACCAAUUUAAGACUCAAGGGGCUUCCAAGGACCAUAGCCUCUUGAUGAUAACUCUGAAAUCCCUUUCACGAUUGAGUCCUCAGCAACAGCAUACUUUCAACUCAACAGUUUCAAGUCUGAUAAAUCCUUUUAAAUGCAGGAAAAAGUCAGUGAUUGCUGGGGAAAGAAAAUGCCAUCUGUUGCCUCUAUUCCCUGAUCUUUGCGUUGUAGUAUUUUUACCUUAUGAGAGGAGAGAAACACAAAGCCAUGGUCAGAGGACCAAAGUAGAGAGGAGGGAUAAUAUAUGUAGCUACCAGGGACCAGCAGCACUUCCUUGGUAA
rnacentral:lncRNA from 1 species